CCUACGGGUGGCUGCAGUGGGGAAUAUUGCACAAUGGGGGAAACCCUGAUGCAGCGACGCCGCGUGAGUGAAGAAGGUUUUCGGAUCGUAAAACUCUGUCCUUGGUGAAGAAAAAAAUGACAGUAGCCAAGGAGGAAGCCCCGGCUAACUACGUGCCAGCAGCCGCGGUAAUACGUAGGGGGCGAGCGUUGUCCGGAUUUACUGGGCGUAAAGGGUGAGUAGGCGGUAGUAUGUGUCAGAUGUAAAAGGCUAAGGCUUAACCAUAGUUAGCAUUUGAAACUGUAUUACUUGAGUGCAGGAGAGGUAAGCGGAAUUCCUAGUGUAGCGGUGAAAUGCGUAGAUAUUAGGAGGAACACCGGUGGCGAAGGCGACGAACUGGACCAAUACUGACGCUGAGGCGCGAAAGCGUGGGGAGCAAACAGGAUUAGAUACCCGAGUAGUC
rnacentral:rRNA from 1 species